rnacentral:lncRNA from 1 species
UUAUUUGCACUUGUUUUCCUUUCACAGCUGACCUAGUUCUCUUGGCCAAAGAAGGUUCAGCACAUACUGACUUGGAGGACUUCCUUGCAGAAGACCUAGUUCCCUUUCAUUUGGCAGUGGGAACGUCCACAGUCGUACUCCGCUCUUGAUGGACCAGUUCUAUCUCUUCUUCCUCCUCUUCCACAGCAGCCUCAGAACUAUCAAAAAUGUUUGCUUUUCCUUGUUUUUUCUUCUUUUUCUUGCUCUCCUCUAGUGCUUUUAGCAGUUCUGCUUCACUUUGCUUUACCGUACUUCCUGUGGCUCUACCCCUAGGCGAAACAGACUUAGGUGAUGAAACUUUGCUCUUAGUUGGUUUGGACACAACAGGGAUACUUUGUGCUUGCAUUUCUUUAGGUCAAAACUGGCCCCUACUCUCUUUAGCAUAUCCACCAAAGUCUCUUCUACAGAUGAACCAGGUUAAUCUUGUUGUUCAC